rnacentral:rRNA from 1 species
CCUACGGGUGGCAGCAGUGAGGAAUAUUGGUCAAUGGACGAGAGCCUGAACCAGCCAAGUAGCGUGAAGGAUGACUGCCCUAUGGGUUGUAAACUUCUUUUAUCUGGGAAUAAAGUGUUCCACGUGUGGGAUUUUGUAUGUACCAUAUGAAUAAGGAUCGGCUAACUCCGUGCCAGCAGCCGCGGUAAUACGGAGGAUCCGAGCGUUAUCCGGAUUUAUUGGGUUUAAAGGGAGCGUAGGCGGAUUGUUAAGUCAGUUGUGAAAGUUUGCGGCUCAACCGUAAAAUUGCAGUUGAAACUGGCAGUCUUGAGUACAGUAGAGGUGGGCGGAAUGCGUGGUGUAGCGGUGAAAUGCUUAGAUAUCACGAAGAACUCCGAUUGCGAAGGCAGCGCACUGGACUGCAACUGACACUGAGGCUCGAAAGUGUGGGUAUCAAACAGGAUUAGAUACCCGGGUAGUC